CAACGAUAAUCCGAACGGGAUGAC
rnacentral:siRNA from 1 species